rnacentral:miRNA from 1 species
AUCGACCUCUUUGAUCGGAAGGGGUUCCUUCCGAUCAACGAGGAUGUACCCUUGUUGACCGGAAGGAAACUCUUCCGGUCAACGAGGUAGAU